UUAUUCCUAUCAAAUUAUAAUGUCUGUGUAAAUAUGCAAAAGAAGAUAACUUUUCUUCCAACAAGCAAAAGAAAAGGUUAAUUUGGUCAUUUCAGUCUUUGUUUAGUCACCAAGGUCAGCAGUUGGUGACAAAUAGUUAAGUUUGAAAACCAGUUGAGCUGUGUAUUAGGAACUCGAUCAACAGUUUCUUGAGACCUGAAGCAAUUCUGAUACAUUUGAAUAUGGCCAACUACAUCUCUAUUUUGAUCUGCUGUUCUGUUCCCGUGUCCUGUUGCUAUACUCUAUAUAGUUUUUGCCAGCCAAGAAUUGUUGGAAUAGAAGAAAUGCUCUUUGAGGCUGGAACAAAGGGACUUCAUGCCCGGCUCCUCGGACCGUGGCAAAGGUUGAUGAUUGGAUCAUGAUGCCUCUUGUUGUAAUUGUGGAUUUUGUUCGCUAGUUGAGGAACAUAAUGACCUAGAGAAGAUUUAUAACAGAGUUAAGAAAAUGGUUGCUGAAUGUUAACACGACCAGUCAUGCUGUCCUGUCAAACGGAAUUAGAUAUCAAGCCUGUUAUCUUGAAGUCAAACGGGCCAUAUUGAUGUAGGCUCAAGGAAAAAGUGUUUUAUUUCUGGUCAAAUCCAUGCUGAUGAUGUUUUUAAGCAUGACUUGUACUUUAUCCUUAAGAUUUUAUAUUGGUUUGACUAUUUCUUUUUUUCAAAAAUGUACUCCGUAUAAUGGUUAGUUUGGAUGGUGAGUAUACAAGGAAAAUGUGAAAAUUUUUGACCUGCAUAACUUUCUCCGGCUAUAUAAAACUCUCUGUAUUUGUAUU